rnacentral:rRNA from 1 species
UUUGAUUAUGGCUCAGAUUGAACGCUGGCAGGAUGCUUUACAUGCAAGUCCGGGCAGCGGCACGGACCGGUCUGUUGGCGAGUGGCGAACGGGUGAAGGUAAUGUAUCGGAACGUGCCUGAAAGUAGCGAAGGGGAUAGCUACGCGAAAGCGUAGCUAAUACCGCAUACGCCCUUCGGGGGAAAGCGGGGGACCUUCCCGGGCCUCGCACUAUUAGAGCAGCCGAUAUCGGAUUGAGCUAGUUGGUGGGGUAACGGCUCGCAGGCUCGACGAUCCGUAGCUGGUUUUGAAGGGCGAUAAUACACUGGGACUGAGACACGGCCCAGACUCCUACAGGAGGCAGCAGUAGAUUUUGGACAAUGAAACCUGAUCCAGCCAUCCCGCGUGUGCGACUGAAGGCCUUCGGGUUGUAAAGCACUUUUGGCAGGAAAGAAACGGCAGGAUAAUACGAUGCAACUGACGAAACUGCCUGCAGAAUAAGCUUCCAGCUAACUACAUUGCCAGCAUCCGCAGUAAUACGUGGUGCAAGCGUUAAUCGGAAUUACUGGGCGUAAAGCAUUGCGCAGGCGGUUCGGAAAGAAAAGAUGUGAAAUCCCAGAGCUUAACUUGGAACUUUCACGUUUUUAACUACCGAGCUAGAGUGUGUCAGAGGAAGUGCGAUUCACGUGUAGCAGUGAAAUGCGUAGAUGUAUGGAGGAACACCGAUGGCGAAGGCAGCCUCCUGGGAUAACACUGACGCUCAUGCACGAAAGCGUGGGGAGCAAACAGGGUUAGAUACCCUGAGUCCACGCCCUAAACGAUGUCAACUAGCUGUUGGGGCCUUCGGGCCUUGGUACUUUUUCAACUAACGUGAAGUUGACCUUAUAAGGAGUACGGUCCGCAAGAUUAAACUCAAAAUUGACGGGGACCCGCACAAGCGGUGGAUGAUGUGGAUUAAUUCAGUGCAACGCGAAAAACCUUACCUACCCUUGACAUGUCUGGAAUCCCGAAGAGAUUUGGGGAGUGCUCGCAAGAGAACCGUUCUAGGUGCUGCAUGGCGCUCGUCAGCUCGUGUCGUGAGAUGUUGGGUUAAGUCCCGCAACGAGCGCAACCCUUGUCAUUAGUUGCUACGAAAAGAGGGCACUCUAAUGAGACCGAUCUAAACCGGAGGAAGGUGGGGACCUGACGUCAGAACUCCUCCAUGACCCUUAUGGGUAGGGCUUCACGUCAUACAAUGGUCGGGACAGAGGGUCGCCAACCCGCGAGGGAGCCAAUCCCAGAAACCCGAUCGUAGUCCCUCGCAGUCUACAACUCGACUGCGUGAAGUCGGAAUCGCUAGUAAUCGCGGAUCAGCAUGUCGCGGUGAAUACGUUUCCAGGUCUUGUACACACCGCCCGUCACACCAUGGGAGUGGGUUUUACCAGAAUGAUUAGCCUAACCGUAAGGAGGCGAUUACCACAGUAGGAUUCAUGACUGGGGGUGAAGUCGUAACAAGGUAACUCUGUUAC